rnacentral:rRNA from 1 species
UACGAAGGGUGCUAGCGUUGUUCGGAAUCACUGGGCGUAAAGCGCGCGUAGGCGGCGAUACAAGUCAGAGGUGAAAGCCUGGAGCUCAACUCCAGAAUUGCCUUUGAAACUGCAUUGCUAGAGUGUCGGAGGGGAUAGCGGAAUUGCUAAUGUAGAGGUGAAAUUCGUAGAUAUUAGCAGGAACACCGGUGGCGAAGGCGGCUAUCUGGACGACAACUGACGCUGAGGCGCGAAAGCGUGGGGAUCAAACAGG